rnacentral:rRNA from 1 species
GAUGAACGCUGGCGGCGUGCCUAAUACAUGCAAGUCGAGCGAACAGACGAGGAGCUUGCUCCUCUGACGUUAGCGGCGGACGGGUGAGUAACACGUGGAUAACCUACCUAUAAGACUGGGAUAACUUCGGGAAACCGGAGCUAAUACCGGAUAAUAUAUUGAACCGCAUGGUUCAAUAGUGAAAGACGGUUUUGCUGUCACUUAUAGAUGGAUCCGCGCCGCAUUAGCUAGUUGGUAAGGUAACGGCUUACCAAGGCGACGAUGCGUAGCCGACCUGAGAGGGUGAUCGGCCACACUGGAACUGAGACACGGUCCAGACUCCUACGGGAGGCAUCAGUAGGGAAUCUUCCGCAAUGGGCGAAAGCCUGACGGAGCAACGCCGCGUGAGUGAUGAAGGUCUUCGGAUCGUAAAACUCUGUUAUUAGGGAAGAACAAAUGUGUAAGUAACUAUGCACGUCUUGACGGUACCUAAUCAGAAAGCCACGGCUAACUACGUG